AACAUAGGCCUAAGAAUCGCAAAUAAGGCCCACAAAAUGGGUGACCAAAAAAAGUCCCACAAAAUGGUCUUAUUAUUGCUUUGGUGCUGAUCGUUUUUCAUUGCGCGCCCUAAACAACACAAGUUCAAAGAAAUGGCUCCAAUUUACAGCUCUGUACGGAAAAAACCGAACUCAUUUCGUUGUAAGAUGAAACGAAAUGAGGCUCCAAUCCCAACAAGAUUAAAGCUUCAUCGGAGAGAGAGAGAGAGUGUGUGUGUGUGUCCUUCUUAGCUAUGAAGUUAGGUUUGAAGCUUUGUGUAGCACUGUGGCUUCUUCCUUCUUUGUGGUUUCUGCGAAUUUGAGCUCUUCGAAAGUUUCCAUCGGUUCCUCACAUUAUUACUUACACAGGGCAGUUAGGUAAAAGUUCCAUGGGUUUGUGGUUGGAAUUUACUUCAUCAAAUUAUUAUAAAAUCUGAAGCAGGCCUCAUUCCCUCAUUCAAGCCACACACAAUCAUCCAAAAUUGGAAAAGAUCUUGAGUUACAGAUGGCUUGUUCAGACAUGUUUGUACUUGUUCAUCUCAAUGGAAAUAUAAAAGACACUGUAGGUGGUGCAACCUUUCAAAGUUGGGACCUUUUUUUGAUGAAUGUUGAUACUGAUCAUCAAAAGUCUCUGCUUGAGUUGAAGAAUCUGAUAUUGGCGAACAUGGAUGAACUUGGAAGAAAGAAGAUAUCUCAUAUGGCAUAUAAGUUGCAUGGUAUAAUAGGUCCCCAAAUUUUCAGGUGUUCUCUUUGACUUUGGUUCUUCAUUAUUUGUGGUUGUGAAAACAUUGUAUUUUGAAUUUAGUUAUAACUGUUUUAGUUUUAGUUUAGGUCUUGUUGGUUCACUGAUUCUUAGUCCUAAUCCCAAACAACUAUUUAUAAUUUAACAUGUAAGGCCCGUUUGGAAA